GCCUCCCUCCGCGCCAUCAGACUCCUACGGGAGGGCAGCAGUGGGGAAUCUUGCACAAUGGGCGAAAGCCUGAUGCAGCGACGCCGCGUGGGGAUGAAGCUUCUCGGAGUGUAAACCCUUUCGACCGGACGAAAACCUCGCAAGAGGAUUCGACGGUACGGGUAUAAGAAGCCCGGCUAACUACGUGCCAGCCGCCGCGGUAAUAC
rnacentral:rRNA from 1 species